GCCGCGAUAGCUCAGCAGGGAGAGCGUAGACUGAAGAUCUAAAUGUUCCCCGGUUCGAUCCCGGGUCCGCGGCG
rnacentral:tRNA from 1 species